ensembl:lncRNA
UGAUCACGCCACUGCAUGCCAGCCUGAGUGACCGAGCAACAGAGUGAGACACCAUCUCUUACAGAAAGGAAAAAAAAAAAAAAAAAAGCGGGGGGAGGGAGAGAGAGAUACACAUUAGUCUAAAGUGGAUUUUGUUGGGUCUUCUUAUCUAAGCUGGAAAUACAUUAUGCAUAAUUCACUUUCCUGCAGCGUUCUGGAUUAGAGUCAGCCACCAGAGGCGUGCAUGCAUUACGAUUUGGAAGGCAGAAGUACACCGGCACUUAUUUUCCUGUCACACUCGAAUGCUGGUGCGAGGCACCAGGCAUACUGCGGCUGUUCAAGCAUAUUGACGCCGAUAUUCUGACUCCUUGUGGAAAUGGAGCCGCAUCCUGCCUUGCAGAGCAUCAGCCAGAUCUUGUUUUUUUACUUUCUCGGAAUCAUGCAGGCAGGUGCGGCUGCUGGAGCAGGGAAUGGGCCUGCCGUUUAUUUAGCCCCUAUCAGCUUCCUAGCUCCAGCUGCUCUAAUUGCAGGGCUAGGCGUAUGUUUAGCUCUAUGGCAAGAGCCUCCAGCUUCUCCUGCAUAUCUCAAACCUCAUCAAAAGCUGGCAGCUUGGAGGUAGUGAGACACAGAGGAGAGAUCCAGUUCAUCAAGAAUAUUUCUACAAGUACCCUAUCCAUAAGAGAGACGGUGGAUACUCCAUCUGCAGGUUUCCAGCCUUAUGCCUCUGUGUGUAGAAUUGAGACUCCCAGAACUGUGACUCUCUUUGUCUCAGAGCUUUUCCCAAACAUUAGUGUUUGUGCUCCAAAAGGGACAGGCCAACAAAUUAACACUUAGCACCCCCAUCCCUAAACCAAGACUGACAGAAGUUGAUAUGUAAUUUCCUCAAUUUAUUGGUAAUUAUAGUCAUAUAACAUUGAGCCAGGUGUUUUAAACACUUUUCCAGGCAGAAUUAAGCCUUAGUCACUUGCAGCUGUAAUUAGCUUGAUAACACACCUAUCCUUACAUUUCCUUACUCCUAUAUCAGCUUUUGUUAUACUUUUCAAAUAAAAUACCUGAGCUAGCAUCCUUGUCUUAGGGUCUAUUCCUUGAGUAGCUACAUUUUCUUGAUUUUUUUUUCUGAAUACUAUUAUAAUAUUUGACCUUGAUUUUAAGGGUAUAAAUAAAUAUGAUAAAUGUAUUUAAUAGAUCAGCAAUACUAUAACCUAAAAAGCUUAGAUAGAGAAAUGGACCAGUGGAUACUCUAGAAUUUAUCUUUGAGCUAUGGAGUGUGUGUGCAUAUGUGUGUGUGUGUGUGUGUGUGUGUGAAGUCAUUUACUGCCAAUCAGUCAAUAUACUGAUUAACUUGAUUGGCUUAUCCAGUUGUAGGAAAACCCGGUUUGCUUCUUUUUAACAAACAUACUGUCAAGUUAGAGACAACCCUACAUUUUUCUGUCUUGCAUAGAUACCACAAGGACCUUGCAGCUUUUUCUUUCACUAUUCUAAAUGGCAACUGACUACAGCAGUAGAAGUGUGUGCUCACAACAUAUUCCAUGUGUCAUCUCUAUCACCUGCCUUUGCUGCCUCCAAAUUAGGUGACAAUAAUGAUGUUUAUUUGGCAUCCCUUGUGGACAUAUUGCUUUCUUUUAAUCGAAAGUUAUAAUUAAGUUCAGAGAACCUUCCUGCAAACUUGUCCUGUGUGUAUUAGGUCUUAUAUAUAUUCUUUACAACUUAUGAAAUGCAAGCACUAGUCUUUCUUAGCUCUACAUAGCUCUAUAGAAUUUAAUUUUCCUUAAUUUAUUCUAAAAUUGUAAAAAUUAAUUGGGAGUCUUUGAUUGAAAUUUAUGUAAUUUGGGUUUGCACAAACAGAAAUUGGAGGAUCUCAGAGAAAGCAAGAGCAGAAAACUAAAGAGGCAUAAAUUUAGAAAAUCAUGCCAUACAUGACAAAGUGUUAAAUGAACCACAUUAGCUGUGGUUGAACAUAUAAAGCUGAGAACAAAUCAUGGAAAUCCUUAAAUGGAAUGGUAAGUAAUUUGGACUUAGCCAACUAGAGAUGAAAAAGCCUCAGAAAUUUUGGAGUAGAACAGUCAUGAAGAGUAGCUUUAGACAUAAUAGGCAGACAACUAAGCCUAUUUGGAAAUAUAAGGUAAGAUUGGAAAAUAAUUUUAGUACUUUUAAAAUAGGCUUUGUAAGAUAAAAUGUUUCCUAAAACCAAAUUAUUGACUUGGGAAUAAACAUGACAUAUUGUUUCUAAAGUAAAGCUUGCACUUAGUCAACUGUUUAACAGCCUUUAAUCCAGAAUGAUUGGUAGCAAUAGGCUGCAAGGUCCCUUUGGUGCCUCUGUGAAACAGAAAGAUACAAGGAUUUCUGUGGUCUGACAAGAAGUAAAUCAGAAAGUUGUACAUUGGGCUUUAUUACUAUAUUUACCAGCUGAUGUUUGGAAAUCACUCAAUAAAUGCAAUUACCUUUUAUAAUGUUCAGCAAUCAUUUCAAUAUGUGAGCUACGAC